rnacentral:rRNA from 1 species
CCGGCCAGAGACCGAUAGCGCACAAGUAGAGUGAUCGAAAGAUGAAAAGUACUUUGGAAAGAGAGUCAAAUAGCACGUGAAAUUGUUGAAAGGGAAGCGCUUGCAGCCAGACUUGCCCGCAGUUGCUCACCCAGGCUCUCGCCUGGGGCACUCUUCUGCGGGCAGGCCAGCAUCAGUUUGGGCGGUCGGAUAAAGGCUCCUGUCAUGUACCACCCCUCGGGGUGGCCUUAUAGGGGGGGCGUAAUGCGACCAGCCCGGACUGAGGUCCGCGCAUCUGCUAGGAUGCUGGCGUAAUGGCUGUAAGCGGCCCGUCUUGAAACACGGACCAAGGAGUCUAACAUCUAUGCGAGUGUUUGGGUGUCAAGCCCGGGCGCGCAAUGAAAGUGAACGGAGGUGGGAACCUUUCGGGGUGCACCAUCGACCGAUCCUGAUGUCUUCGGAUGGAUUUGAGUAAGAGCAUAGCUGUUGGGACCCGAAAGAUGGUGAACUAUGCUUGAAUAGGGUGAAGCCAGAGGAAACUCUGGUGGAGGCUCGCAGCGGUUCUGACGUGCAAAUCGAUCGUCAA